rnacentral:lncRNA from 1 species
GGUGACCACUUGCCUCAUUUAUCCUCCAUUUGAAAAAUUUCAAAAACUAUUCAUUUGUUUGCAUACCAAGGCAGUACAGAAUCUUCUACAGUGGCACUUCGAUGGUAAGAAUUGGGGUUUUUUUCCUGUGAUUCUUUCCUCCGUGUUGUGGUUUAUUUAGCAGUGAUUGGCUUCUUUGUCUGCUUUUAGAAUUGGGUAUAUGUUUGGAUCAGCUGUAUGCAUUAGGACCCAUUGUAUGCAUUAGUAUCAGCUGAAUACAUUAGGGUCAGUCAUAUGUAUUAGGACCAGCUAUAUGCAUUAUGGUCAGCUAUAUGCCUCAAGGUCUGCUAUCUGCAUCAGGGUCAGCUAUAUGCACCAGUUAUGUGCAUUGAAAACAGUUAUAUGCGUUACAGUCAGCUCUGUGCAUCAAAGUCAGCUGUAUGCAUCAGGGUCAGGUACAUGCAUCAGGGUCAGCUCCAUGCAUCAGGGUCAGCUCCAUGCAUCAAGGUCAGAUAUAUGCAUCAGGGUUGGCUGUGUGCGUCAAAGUCAGCUAUAUGCAUCAGGUUCAGGUAUAUGCAUCAGGGUUAGUAUAUGCAUUAAGGUCAGCUAUAUGCAUCAGGUCAGCUAUAUGCAUUGGGAUCAGCUAUAUGUAUCAGGUCGGCUAAAUGCAUCAGGAUGAGCUAUAUGCAUCAGGAUCAGUUAUAUGUACCAGGGUCAGCUAUAUAUGCAUCAGGUCAGCUAUACGUGUCAGGGUCAACUAUAUGCAUAGGCUCAGCUAUAUGCAUCAGCGUCAGCUAUAUGCAUCAGGGUCGGCUAUAUGCAUCAGGUCAGCUAUAUGCAUCAGGUCAGCUAUAUGCAUUAGGGUCAGCUAUAUGCAUCAGGGUCAGCUAUAUGCAUCGGGUCAACUAUAUGCAUGGGGUCAGCUAUAUGCAUCAGGUCAGCUGUACACCUUAGGGCCAUUUAUGCACAUGAAGGCCAGUGAUCUGCAUGUCCCUGCUCUUUAAUCUGGCAGCUCUUCCCCAGCCAAUGAUCUAUCAAUGCCUACCUGAAAAGUGACACCUUCUGUGGGGCAAUUUAUAAUCCCUGCUGCUUUGCUCGAUAGUUUGAAACAAAGCUACAUAUAGGACUUAUUUGCAUGAAACACAUAAUGUGGGUGGCCCAACUUUGGGUAUUCCUCCCCACCACCUCCACUGAAAGGCCCUAAAUCCACAUUUGUCACACGCCCACCUGCUAUGAGAAUACAAUUAAAUACCAAAUUCUAUUCAAGUUUAUUCUUUUAAAAGCCCCAGAAAAGCUUUAAAACCAGACACCAACAAAGCCAAUAAAAA